AUCUUUGCGCAGUGGCAGUAUUGUAGCCUAUGAGGUUUAUCCGAGGCGCGAUUAUUGCUAAUUCAAAACUUUACCCAAUACCCUGCCUUGACGACUUGAAAUAUGGUCGGCUAUGGCAAUUUCUGAUGGUCUCUAAGGAGA
ensembl:snRNA U4 U4 spliceosomal RNA